rnacentral:lncRNA from 1 species
CCGUGCUACCUCUGUUAUUUUUGUUUUUAAAUUUGGCCAAGCCCAGACAUGUGUGCUAUCGUUGGGUGUUGGGGGAAAAAAUAAAAGACAAGAUGAUUUGUCUGCAAUUCAAACCCAAGAGGGUUUCCUAGGUGUGGAGUGAUGGGUUCUGAAAUGCCAAAUGAGAAAGAAGGUCAGGGAGCUACAAAAGAGGUACAGAGGUAGGGACAAGGCAGUGCUUCAUUUACCUUCAGCAAACCUGGUGAUUUACCUUCUCCUUCAGUCCCUUCACCAUCACCAAUCCUUCCCCUGAAAAAACCAUUGUGGACUGCCUGAUGAUAAGUUGGGAAGUGAGAGUGGGUAGGUGUGGAGCAAGAAUAACAACAUCCUGGGUACCGUACAUUCUGAAGGAACAGAGGGAAUUCCUGUUUUGUUUUAACCUGGGACAGAGGGGAUUGGUUUGUUCUCUCCAGGUGAAAUGAUUAUUAUCAUUUAUUAUUUAUUAGCCAGAGGUCUUAGGUGAGAUCAAAUUCAAUCAUUAUAAUUUAUAUUUCAAUAUACUGCUUAACUUCAUGAUAGGCAAUGUUCUAGGUGCUCCUCACAUGUGAAAUUUUAAUAUUUUUACUGCAACUCUGGAGGUAAGUACUAUUAUUAUACCAAUUCUACAGAUGAAAAAGCCAAGGAAUAGCAUGCUUGAAUCACUUGCCCAAGAUGCCAUGUUUAGAUAGUGGUACAGUGGGGAUUCGAACGCGGGAGCUCAGGUUUCAAAGUCUGUGCUCUUUACAUAUGCAGCUAAAGAGUCAGACAAGAACCAAAAGGAGAUGGAGAAUAGAGGGUAGAAAGGGCACAGGUUCAAGGUGAAAGGUCAGAAACUGCAAAUUCGGAGUUUGGGUUGGUCUAGCAGCUUAAAGGCGUCAUCAUGAACUGUUCACCUAAGUAAGUUAAGCUCCUGUUUGAGAAUGACUGAUAAGCUUGCAAGCCAACUUACAAACAAACUGGGGAAAUGUUCCAAUAGAUGACUAAGUCUUUUAGGUCUUUUUACCUGUGUUUUUC